rnacentral:tRNA from 1 species
AAUGAAGUGCCUGACAAAAGGGCUACUUUGAUAGAGUAAAACACGCAUUAAAUGCCUUCAUUA